CUGAAGCUACCAUGGUUACACUUCUGCAAUGUAAACAAACAAGCAUCUGAAUACUUAACAUAGAUCCACAGCCUAUUUCUUUGUCCUAUGGCAUGGGAGUGGCAGCCUCACUUGAAGAAAUCAGGAUGGAUCUCUGCCAUGAGCAUGGUAGUUCUUCUAUAUGUGUUAAGAACUCAGGGAAGGAAGUUCUGGACAAACUGCCAAUAUGUUAAGCACUCACGUUCCCAGGAGGCACACAAAUGCAUCUGCUUGUGGGUUCUGAAAUUCAAUUAACUGGCUGUGUCCCUGUGGUUUAGUCCUAUCACUUCCAUGGACCUUAACUUCUUUGUGUGGAAAAUCAGAGUGUCAAGGUCAUAUAACAGUGAUCACACAGAGCGCCAAUUUGGGUCCCUGUAGAACCUGCCUUCCUUUCUUCCGACCUUCUAAGACAGUCAGACUAACAGAACUCUAUAGAGAGCAGUGGCCCUCAACUAUUGAUUUUCCACCCAGAGGUUGAUUGGUUUCAAUAUCCAUAAGAAGAAUGCCAAAUCAGCCUGAUGGAACACAAGACCUGCCUAAUGAUGCUGUUGAGACUUCCCCAGUACCUCCCUGGAUACACACUCAGCUGAUUCUAUAGCCAACUACCAUGAAUCACAAUAGGCCAGAGGAGGACCAGACUUCCAACCCAAGUGGCCUUUGAACUGAUCUUCCUAUUGAGCACAGAGGUGCCAUCUGCAGCAAAAACCACUCCAUCCAAAAACCCAGUGAGUGAGGAAUGAAAGCAGGUCACCUGGGUGAGUUUUCUCCUGCUGCCACCUAGAAGGGAGUCUGGCUGAAUUCAUCCAGAAGAACUAGCUUAGAAAGAACAAAAAAAAAAAGGAAGAAACAAAGCCUUUGUCAAGCCAUAAAAGGGCCAAUCUACUGUAUAUGAAAACUAUCCUGUCAAAGGCAAGGGAUAGCCCCAGAAGGCAGAAAACGGUGCCAAGCAGGUUUAGACUAAUACUCUGCAUGAGGAAGAUGCUGUGGUUGGCGAGAUCACCUGGGGAAAGAUCUGGUACGAGAAGAAAGCACCUAUGUUAACUGAGGCUUAAUCUCCCAGAUGAAACGAAAAAUGGGAGUCCCUUGAUCUCUGGCAGUCAUUUAAAGUACAUUAAGAUCUCACAUAAAAGGACUAUCCUAAAGGCCCCAACCUCAGGCACUUACGCUUCAUUUGGCUGUUCUAUCAACUCCACCUGGACACAUGGUCCACACAGAAACUCAGUAAGCCCAUCUGAGGUAAAAACUGAGGGAAGAACUUACCUAAGCCAUCAAAUUACAUCAUAUACACAAUUCUAUAGGGGAUGCUUCUUGAACAAAAGGAGAUUUGAAGAUGAAAAACAUGAUAAAAGUCUCUGAAAUUAAAAAUCUGCUGGAAUU